rnacentral:rRNA from 1 species
CCCUUAGAUGUUCUGGGCAGCACGCGCGCUACAAUGGUCUUCGCAAACGGAUGCAUUCUCGAAGGAGAAUGCCAAUCUUGGAAUCUAUGCCUUGGUCGGGACAGUUGCUUGCAAUUUUUCGACUCGAACCAGGAAUUCCUUGUAAUCGUGAUUCAUCACAUCACGAUGAAUACGUCCCUGCCCUUUGUACACACCGCCCGUCGCUCCUACCGAUCGAAGAGUUAGGUGAAUUGUUUUGAUCGAUAAGGUUUGACUAUGGUCAACUCUCGUUGUGAAAUUCUGUGAAGCUGACUGUUUAGAGGAAGGAAAAGUCGUAACA